rnacentral:rRNA from 1 species
UACGAGGGGGGCAAGCGUUGUUCGGAAUUAUUGGGCGUAAAGGGCGCGUAGGCGGUGCGGUAAGUCACCUGUGAAAUCUCUGGGCUCAACUCAGAGUCUGCAGGCGAAACUGCCGUGCUGGAGUAUGGGAGAGGUGCGUGGAAUUCCCGGUGUAGCGGUGAAAUGCGUAGAUAUCUGGAGGAACACCGGUGGCGAAGGCGGCAUCCUGGACCAAUAUUGACGCUGAGGAGCGAAAGCCAGGGGAGCAAACGGG